CGCAUUUCUCUGCCGGUCGCAAUGGAAGAAGAGAUCGCCGCGCUGGUCAUUGACAAUGGCUCCGGCAUGUGCAAAGCUGGUUUUGCUGGGGACGACGCUCCCCGAGCCGUGUUUCCUUCCAUCGUCGGGCGCCCCAGACACCAGGGCGUGAUGGUGGGCAUGGGCCAGAAGGACUCCUACGUGGGCGACGAGGCCCAGAGCAAGCGUGGCAUCCUGACCCUGAAGUACCCCAUUGAGCAUGGCAUCGUCACCAACUGGGACGACAUGGAGAAGAUCUGGCACCACACCUUCUACAACGAGCUGCGCGUGGCCCCGGAGGAGCACCCAGUGCUGCUGACCGAGGCCCCCCUGAACCCCAAGGCCAACAGAGAGAAGAUGACUCAGGCUCUGUUCCUCUCCCGGCAUUUCCUCCCUGAAGCCUCCAGGUUUCUCAUUUGGUUUCUGCCUGCGUUCUUUUCUUUUCUCCACACAUCACACUGGCAUGCGGCAUGUUGUGGCGUGUGAGCAUGGGGUGGCCGUGGGUCUCUGUCCCUGACUAAGCCGCCCCUUGUCCCUUCUCAGAUUAUGUUUGAGACCUUCAACACCCCGGCCAUGUACGUGGCCAUCCAGGCCGUGCUGUCCCUCUACGCCUCUGGGCGCACCACUGGCAUUGUCAUGGACUCUGGAGACGGGGUCACCCACACGGUGCCCAUCUACGAGGGCUACGCCCUCCCCCACGCCAUCCUGCGUCUGGACCUGGCUGGCCGGGACCUGACCGACUACCUCAUGAAGAUCCUCACCGAGCGAGGCUACAGCUUCACCACCACGGCCGAGCGGGAAAUCGUGCGCGACAUCAAGGAGAAGCUGUGCUACGUCGCCCUGGACUUCGAGCAGGAGAUGGCCACCGCCGCAUCUUCCUCUUCUCUGGAGAAGAGCUACGAGCUGCCCGAUGGCCAGGUCAUCACCAUCGGCAAUGAGCGGUUCCGGUGUCCGGAGGCGCUGUUCCAGCCUUCCUUCCUGGGUAGGUGCUGUGAGCUAAAGGUUUCUGCUCUUUCAUCCUGGGCGACACGGCAUCACUAAGGGAGGGCUCUGUCCCCUAGGCAUGGAAUCUUGCGGCAUCCACG
rnacentral:sRNA from 1 species